GUAGGUGGCAAGCGUUGUCCGGAAUUAUUGGGCGUAAAGCGCGCGCAGGCGGUUCUUUAAGUCUGAUGUGAAAGCCCACGGCUCAACCGUGGAGGGUCAUUGGAAACUGGAGAACUUGAGUACAGAAGAGGAAAGCGGAAUUCCACGUGUAGCGGUGAAAUGCGUAGAGAUGUGGAGGAACACCAGUGGCGAAGGCGGCUUUCUGGUCUGUAACUGACGCUGAGGCGCGAAAGCGUGGGGAGCAAACAGGGAUUAGAUACCCUGGUAGUCCACGCCGUAAACGAUGAGUGCUUAGUGUUAGGGGGUUUCCGCCCCCUUAGUGCUGCAGCUAACGCAUUAAGCACUCCGCCUGGGGAGUACGGCCGCAAGGCUG
rnacentral:rRNA from 1 species